GUAUUGUAUGAAAGAAGAAAAGGUUAGUACUUCCCUUGAUAAAGAUGGAAGAGGUCCUAAUAACUUUUACAACACUAUAUGGUUAAGGCAUUGCCAUCUAAAGGAGUGCAAUUGUAUGAUAAAGGAACUUAA
ensembl:snRNA